rnacentral:rRNA from 1 species
UAGGGAAUCUUCCACAAUGGACGAAAGUCUGAUGGAGCAACGCCGCGUGAGUGAUGAAGGGUUUCGGCUCGUAAAACUCUGUUGUUGGAGAAGAACGGGUGUCAGAGUAACUGUUGACAUCGUGACGGUAUCCAACCAGAAAGCCACGGCUAACUACGUGCCAGCAGCCGCGGUAAUACGUAGGUGGCAAGCGUUGUCCGGAUUUAUUGGGCGUAAAGCGAGCGCAGGCGGUUUUUUAGGUCUGAUGUGAAAGCCUUCGGCUUAACCGGAGAAGUGCAUCGGAAACCGGGAGACUUGAGUGCAGAAGAGGACAGUGGAACUCCAUGUGUAGCGGUGAAAUGCGUAGAUAUAUGGAAGAACACCAGUGGCGAAGGCGGCUGUCUGGUCUGCAACUGACGCUGAGGCUCGAAAGCAUGGGUAGCGAACAGGAUUAGAUACCCUGGUAGUCCAUGCCGUAAACGAUGAGUGCUAAGUGUUGGAGGGUUUCCGCCCUUCAGUGC